rnacentral:lncRNA from 1 species
GGGCUGCGGAGGAGGUCGGGUGACUCUUGAUCCCAGUUCCCAGUGAAAACUGUAGGUCGCCAUCACCUAACUACGCAUGCAGUAGUCUUCUGCCUGCUGCUUACAGCCCGAGAACCCCUUCUCUGAGAGAAUAAAAUCUUUGACCGUUGCC